CAGCAGCCGCGGUAAUACGAAGGGGGCUAGCGUUGUUCGGAAUUACUGGGCGUAAAGCGCACGUAGGCGGACAUUUAAGUCAGGGGUGAAAUCCCGGGGCUCAACCCCGGAACUGCCUUUGAUACUGGGUGUCUAGAGUAUGGAAGAGGUGAGUGGAAUUCCGAGUGUAGAGGUGAAAUUCGUAGAUAUUCGGAGGAACACCAGUGGCGAAGGCGGCUCACUGGUCCAUUACUGACGCUGAGGUGCGAAAGCGUGGGGAGCAAACAGGAUUAGAUACCCGUGUAGUCCCUGUCUCUUAUAC
rnacentral:rRNA from 1 species